AGAGUCUUAUGGUGGAAGGUUUAGCAAACCACACCAGCCUCGAGUCAUGCGGCAAUUGCAGUAAUGCAUUGGCUGAAGCGUUGACAGAGGGAAGCACAGGCGGGCUAUUGAGCUCCGAAAUCACUCAUUCUCGGGUGCCGACCACGUGGUCCGAUGGGGAAGGCAACACGUUUUGCCGCGUUAUUAUGCGAGCUGUAAGACGACCCGGCGGAGUCCUAGAACC
rfam:Tncultured bacterium clone HZ25 unknown sequence.